UUGCUCUCAUAGUAUAUUAUUUCUCAGAUUGCCCUCAUAGAUACUCUGCAACUGACCAGCUUGCUCUUACUGUAGCUGACUUGAUUGUACAGGCAUAUUCUGGACUCAGUGGACAAUUUCAUGUGAGUGAAUCUGUCUGCAAAUUUCACCAUCAAGGAGAGGGACAACACGAGUUUCUAACCCAAGAACUCUGCAAACAGGCGUGCAAUCUGGAAGAAAGAAGUGCUUCAGUGUUGCAAUGGAUGGACCAGAGGAGUUAUUGCUGUGUGAGGAGUCAGAUUCUGGCCAAGAAGCUACAUGUGAAUCAUAUAUGCACUGAUUCACUGGAAUAUUUAACCUGUGUUCUUAUCAAAAAUUUUAUAGGAUGUAGUCCGUGGUUUCCAGGAUAAACGGAGUCC
rnacentral:lncRNA from 1 species